GACGAACGCUGGCGGCGUGCCUAAUACAUGCAAGUAGAACGCACAGUUUAUACCGUAGCUUGCUACACCAUAGACUGUGAGUUGCGAACGGGUGAGUAACGCUUAGCUAACCUGCCUGGUAGCGGGGGAUAACUAUUGGAAACGAUAGCUAAUACCGCAUAAUAUUGAUUAUUGCAUGGUAAUUGAUUGAAAGAUGCUAUUGCAUCACUACCAGAUGGACCUGCGUUGUAUUAGCUAGUAGGUGAGGUAACGGCGCACCUAGGCGACGAUACAUAGCCGAACUGAGAGGGUGGUCGGCCGCACUGGGACUGAGACACGGCCCAGACUCAUACGGGAGGCAGCAGUACGGAAUCUUCAGCAAUGGACGAAAGUCUGACCGAGAAACGCCGAGGGAGUAAGGAAGGUUGUCGGAUCGGAAAGCUCUGUUGUAAGAGAAGAACGGGUGUGAGAGUGGAAAGUUCACACUGUGACGGUAUCUGACCAGAAAGGGACGGCUAACUACGUG
rnacentral:rRNA from 1 species